rnacentral:rRNA from 1 species
CACGCCGCGUGAGUGAUGAAGGUUUUCGGAUCGUAAAGCUCUGUUGUUAGGGAAGAACAAGUACCGUUCGAAUAGGGCGGUACCUUGACGGUACCUAACCAGAAAGCCACGGCUAACUACGUGCCAGCAGCCGCGGUAAUACGUAGGUGGCAAGCGUUGUCCGGAAUUAUUGGGCGUAAAGGGCUCGCAGGCGGUUUCUUAAGUCUGAUGUGAAAGCCCCCGGCUCAACCGGGGAGGGUCAUUGGAAACUGGGGAACUUGAGUGCAGAAGAGGAGAGUGGAAUUCCACGUGUAGCGGUGAAAUGCGUAGAGAUGUGGAGGAACACCAGUGGCGAAGGCGACUCUCUGGUCUGUAACUGACGCUGAGGAGCGAAAGCGUGGGGAGCGAACAGGAUUAGAUACCCUGGUAGUCCACGCCGUAAACGAUGAGUGCUAAGUGUUAGGGGGUUUCCGCCCCUUAGUGCUGCAGCUAACGCAUUAAGCACUCCGCCCGGGGGAG